CUGGAGACUUUAAACAGAGGGAACAGAGUCCUGCAGGCUUCCCUCCCGCCGCUCGCUGCAGCCCUGCGGAUGAUGCAAACUUCUCCAUCUCCAGCUCGGACCCAGACACACGAUGACCUUUGGAACUCAGGCUUCUCCCUGCUUUCUUCCCUCGGGUUCUG
ensembl:antisense